GCCAUUUGAGUUUAGCCACAAAAUAACCUACCCUGAGGAAAAAUUUUUAGGCUUGACAUCAGAUCAGGCUUCCGUUGAGAAAAAUAAGAAAAAUGGCAAUCACUCAGGAUGUAGACGAUAAUGGGCUAGAAGCGGCAGGAGAGCCACUGUUGCAGGAUGAGAGUAAGUGGACUCACAGCAGUCAAGAGCGUCACCCAUGGAUGGUUUACCUCAGCACGUUGGUGGCUGUUUGUGGCUCCUACGAAUUUGGAACUUGUGCGGGUUACUCCUCGCCCACUCAAAGUGCUAUCAUGGAUGAUCUUCAUCUCUCUUUAGCCGAGUUUUCACUGUUUGGCUCCAUACUGACAUUUGGUGCAAUGAUUGGUGCAAUUACAAGUGGACCUGUCGGAGAUCUCCUCGGCCGGAAAGGGGCAAUGAGGGUCGCUACCGGUGCUUGUGUGGCUGGGUGGCUAACAAUAUACUUGGCUCAGGGAGUAGUGGCUUUGGAUAUUGGACGAUUCGCUACUGGAUAUGGAAUGGGAGUCUUUUCUUAUGUGGUUCCUGUUUUCAUAGCUGAGAUUGCACCUAAGAACCUCCGAGGAGUUCUAACUACCCUCAAUCAGUUAAUGAUUUGCACAGCAGUGUCAAUAUCCUUCACAAUUGGGAAUGUACUCUCAUGGAGAGCUCUAGCAUUGACUGGACUUGUCCCUUGUGUCAUUCUGACAUUUGGUCUUCUCUUCAUUCCUGAAUCUCCAAGAUGGCUGGCAAAAGAGCGACGACAAAAAGAAUUUGAAAUGGCUCUCAGAAAACUUCGUGGUGAGGAUGUUGACGUGUCCCAAGAGGCAGCUGAAAUCCAGGACUAUGUAGCAACCCUUGAACAACUCCCAAAACCCCAAAUUACUGAUUUGUUUCAGAGGAUGUACUUGCGCUCGGUUGUUAUUGGAGUUGGAUUGAUGGUCUGCCAACAAUUUGGAGGAAUUAAUGGAAUCUGCUUCUAUGUCGCGAAUAUUUUUGAGUCAGCAGGAUUUUCGGUCAGCGUUGGAACUAUAAGCUAUGCUAUUCUUCAGGUCAUAGUAACAGGCAUUGGGGCGGUUUUAAUGGACAAGGCAGGAAGAAAGCCCUUGAUACUGAUUUCUGCAUCAGGGUUAGUCCUUGGUUGUAUCCUAGACGCAGUUUCUUUUUAUCUGAAGUUCAAGCCACCUCUAGAAUUAAUCACACCUUAACCAUUUUAUCUCCCUACAUAUUCCGUUUUAUGUGAGGUAAGUUUUAACUUCUUUCAUAGUUGAACUGAACAAAAAUCUUAUCCCCAAAUAUUUCUUACGUGGAGAAGGAAUGUAGAAACUACUAGUCAUCGAUUUCUAAAUUGGCCGUUUGCUUACAAAAGAUGGAUCUUCAUCCUCAAUCAUUUCAAUAUCACUUGGUGUCCUCCAAAAUAUAGAAGACGACGUUAUAGAGCUCUUUUUUUGGCUUAUUUGAAAAGAAAGAAAAACUAGAACUUUUCCAGAUUAGUGUGAUUCAUUUAUCAAAAUUUGUGGUCGCAUUCAUUAUAUGACAUCGAAUUGCAGCCUUUCAUAAUCCCUUUUGUUACACACAUCUUCUUUUGAUGAACUUAGAUUGAUGGCCAUUUGUUUGAUUCCACCUUUUUUACUUAGAGGGUCCUCAUCCCUAGUGCUAUUUUAUAUAUAUGUUUAAAUAUGUAUCUUUCAUCAUUUCUCAUCCAAAAAAAGGCCCUGGUUUAGAUAACUUGAAUCAGAUUAGUAGUCAAAUGUAAUAACAAUGAUGCACGGAUCAAUGAAAGAAGAGCAUAGCAAAAACAUAUGACAUCGAGACAAUUAUUUUCUAAUUCUGUAGAUUGUUGAUAAAAAUGAUGUAUUUUGAGUUCUAAUUACAACUUCCACUUGCUGAAAACCAGGCGAACGGACUAGCAAUCCAGGCAGUUCCAGUGUUAACUGUAGCUGGGGUGUUGGUGUACAUAGGAUCUUUUUCGAUCGGAAUGGGUCCUGUUCCCUGGGUUGUAAUGUCUGAGGUAUUCCCCAUAAACAUCAAGGGACUGGCUGGAAGC